GCCCACCUAGCUCAAUGGUCUAGCGUUGGCUUUGAAAGUCACAGUUCAGUGGUUCAAUUCCACCCGGGCA
rfam:Phytophthora parasitica P1569 supercont1.908, whole genome shotgun sequence.